UACGUAGGUGGCAAGCGUUGUCCGGAUUUAUUGGGCGUAAAGCGCGCGCAGGCGGUCCUUUAAGUCUGAUGUGAAAUCUUGCGGCUCAACCGCAAGCGGUCAUUGGAAACUGGGGGACUUGAGUACAGAAGAGGAAAGCGGAAUUCCACGUGUAGCGGUGAAAUGCGUAGAGAUGUGGAGGAACACCAGUGGCGAAGGCGGCUUUCUGGUCUGUUCUUGACGCUGAGGCGCGAAAGCUAGGGGAGCAAACGGG
rnacentral:rRNA from 1 species